UGACGCCGGACACCGGAAGACGAAGGCUCAUCUUAUAACAGCUCCGCUCUUAAAAAAAUCCCAGGAUGGCUCUGUCUGCCUGCGUUCGAUAUACGGUUUGCCAGCCUCAUUGCCGGAAACGAGCAGCAAUGACGAUGUCUUCAUUCAGGCUCAUUGUAAUGGGGAUGCGGCGGCGGCAAUCGAGUUCAGGAAUUCGCUGUUAGCGAUGCAACGCCAAAUCCCUGAGAUACCGCGGACUGCGUGAGAAGAAUUGUACUGGAUCACGAGGUCCGCACAGUCAGCAUUUUAUGCCUAUUCAUCCUUUUCUGAAGCUUAUGCGAAGUCUGUAAGCAAACGCAGUGGAUGGAGAAAACGCAACAGCCCCGCCUGAAGCUGCAGCACAAGUACCCACACCUGCAGGAGCAACUACUGCAGCAACUCCACUAACACCUGAAAUAGAAACGUCCCAACGUGUAAAUGAAAUACCUCAAGAAGAUCCAGUGAAACAAGGAGGCGUCACAUCAGGUCAACCUACAUCAACAAAUGAAAUACCAACGACCUCAGUUGCUGACUGGGCGUCCAAGCAGUGCCAGUUCCUGGGGCAUGAAUGUGUUAAGUUUGAGUUUUGUAAGCCAAAAUAUCGGCUCCGACUCCGUGGCUGCGGAGAUGGUAAUGUGUGCUGCAACGUCCGUAAAACUAGAUCAUGCAUCAAAAUCGGAGGAGAAUGCCGAAAGAAAUGCCGUCAAUAUGAAGUUCCGAAUCGUUACGUCAAAUGCAGAAAUCUACUGAAGAAGUGCUGCGUGGCCGUCGACUAUCAGAGGCCUUCGACCAAGCUGAAAACCUAACAAUACUGCUUCUCAGUUUCUUGAAAAGAAACUGCUUUUUCUGCGGGAUAUACUACAUUAAAGGAAUAA